UACACUCCUACGGGAGGCAGCAGUGGGGAAUUUUGGCCAAUGGGCGAAAGCCUGAUCCAGCAAUGCCGCGUGAGUGAAGAAGGCCUUCGGGUUGUAAAGCUCUUUUGUCAGGGAAGAAACGGUGAGAGCUAAUAUCUUUUGCUAAUGACGGUACCUGAAGAAUAAGCACCGGCUAACUACGUGCCAGCAGCCGCGGUAAUACGUAGGGUGCAAGCGUUAAUCGGAAUUACUGGGCGUAAAGCGUGCGCAGGCGGUUUUGUAAGUCUGAUGUGAAAUCCCCGGGCUCAACCUGGGAAUUGCAUUGGAGACUGCAAGGCUAGAAUCUGGCAGAGGGGGGUAGAAUUCCACGUGUAGCAGUGAAAUGCGUAGAUAUGUGGAGGAACACCGAUGGCGAAGGCAGCCCCCUGGGUCAAGAUUGACGCUCAUGCACGAAAGCGUGGGGAGCAAACAGGAUUAGAAACCCCUGUAGUCCC
rnacentral:rRNA from 1 species